rnacentral:lncRNA from 1 species
GAAUAGAGAGAGAGAGGUGGAUGGAAGAGAGCGAGAGAGAGGUGGAUGGAAGAGAGAGCGAGAGAGGUGGAUGGAAGAGAGAGCGAGAGAGGUGGAUGGAAGAGAGCGAGAGAGAGGUGGAUGGAAGAGAGCGAGAGAGAGGUGGAUGGAAGAGAGCGAGAGAGAGGUGGAUGGAAGAGAGAGCGAGAGAGAGGUGGAUGGAAGAGAGAGAGCGAGAGAGGUGGAUGGAAGAGAGAGAGCGAGAGAGGUGGAUGGAAGAGAGAGAGCGAGAGAGGUGGAUGGAAGAGAGAGAGCGAGAGAGGUGGAUGGAAGAGAGAGGUGAAUGGAAGAGAGAGAGAGGGAGAGAGAGGGGGGGUGGAAGAGAGAGG